CAGCUCAUGUACUAAAGAGCUUUUUCUGCCCGUUUUCUUUGUGUUCGUAGCUACAGCGACGACAUUCACGUUGCCGUUGCCGUUUUGUUUUGGUUUUCUGCUUGGGGUACAGUUGCUGCUCGGGCUUUUUGAAAUGUUGUUGGCCUCCUCUGACUACAACAACAGCAACAACAACAAGAACAGCAACAGCAGCAGCAAACAAAAUAAAAACAAAAACAAAAACAGACGAUAAUAAAACGUGUAUACCUGUGCAAUACUUAUAGUAUUGUUGCCGAGGUGACUUUGCGAUGCUCUCACAAAAACAAAGCGGUAAACGAUAAGAAAGAUGCGAACAUUCUACAAUGAAUAUCAAGAAAUGUGCCAAACCUAAUAAUACUAAUAAAUUUAGUGUUAAAUUAUCACUUCCCACUUAAUUAAAAUUUCGAUUGUGGUUUCAGUUUAUCGCUUAGCGUUCAAGCCGAGGUACAGGGUAUUCAAAUACACUCACACUCGUUUACAAAUGUCACUAUGUACGCCGCUUUGUAUGUUUCACGCAAAGACAGCAGCUCCAAAGCUCAAAUCAAACGGAAACGAACAAGACAACAAGAACAGCUGCAGUAGCAGCAGCCAGAGAGCAAGAGUGUGAGAGAGAGAAGCACGCAUUGCUCCAAAGCAAAACGUGUUGGUCGUGUGCAGACGUUGACGUCGCGGUCGCUGUGCACGUGAAAAGUUUUGUUUGUGGGGCGUCGACGUUGCCGGGCCCCUUAUGUCAGUUUUGCGUGAUGCUGACGAGAGCAUUAAAAAGCUUUUGCUCUUCUCUCUAUUGCUUGCUCUCUGCUCUAUUAAACCGGUUCUCGUCGGUUAUGUGGUCAAUGUUUUCCUUGUUGUUUGUUUACGUGUAUGAGUCGUGAAGUUGAUAAGGCAACAACAGCUAAUAAGCGUUUAUGGGAAUUGAGCUUUUUUGUGCGCAAAUCGCUUUCGAUUCAAAGCUUUCCGGUCAAGGUCUAUCUUCUAUCUAUGCGUACAACGAUCAUAAUCAUACAAAAUUAUACUUAUGUUUCUUCACAUGUUGCCAGGCGCAUUUUGUGGUGCCAUUUUAUGUGUGUAUUCGAAUAUUUAUUCGCAUUCCAACGACAAUGACAGCUGUUGUUUGUUUACAUCAACACUGAAAGCUUUUCGAUAAGGCCCCGUAAUGGAGCAAAACAAGUAGAAAUUGUAGCAUUCGAUAAGCGACGUAAAUAAAUAAAUAAUGUAAACAAAUCGUAAAGGGAUCGUGCAAUCAAUUGUUUGUUGUAUAACACCUUAUUUGUAGUGCGAUAAAUAGUAAGACGUUGUGUUAUUAAAAGCCUAAACGUUUGAUCAAUUCACACUUGACAAGGGACUACUAGUUAAUACCAGACUAUAAGCGUUUAGAUCUUU